CCUCAUUUUUGCUUUUCUUUUAUUUAUAGAAAAAUAGGGGAGCUAUAAAACCUUGAGAGGGGAAGGCUUGGGGCUCUUAAUGGAUUAGCCCUGGCUGGCAGGACAGCUCUACUUCCACGACUUUAUUGUGUGUAUAUUUUUACAAUGUUAUUUUACAGAUUUUUUUUUUUUUUUUUUUCAUUCAGUGGAAUUAUUUCUUCUACUGAAGGGUGUGAGGUAAUGAGAUUAAGUGAGAUUGGGAAUUUAAGAGUGAAAAUCGGGUUUUUAUUUCUCUCGUGGUAGUGGCGUAUGAAUGUGGAGGAGGCUGGAAUGGCUGCCGGCUGGACAGCCGUUGAGGGGCUUUCAUUGAAAGUAAGUGUUUUUAUAGGAGCCCAUAGCGCCGCCCUGCAGGGCCGUUCGCUGGCACAACGAUCUGCUCUGGCCUGGCCUGGAGUAUCUGACCCACCAUGGCUGUUACGUUACGGGCCAGUGGUGCAGCGUAACGCACAGUGGGGCAUGAUAGUGCAUGAGUACAGCAACCACCAUGAGCCAAUGAGGAAAGAGAGGCUUUGCUUUGAGCCUGAUGACGCGGUCGGAAAGGGUGUGCUGAGCGGAACCGUUUACCAGCAGCGUCAUGAAAGAGUCAAUUUCACAGAGUUGACAAUCAGUCACUUGUCACUUUGGUAGUGUCUCUCUGGCCUCGCCCAGACUGCUCUUUACUGUCCUUCCAAAAAAGCACUAAAAUGCUCUUGGAGUUGUCACAGGCCUCCGAUAUAGAUCGGGGUUGUGAAAACCUUUUUACUGCACAUGAAAUAAAAACAGUUGUGUGAUGUAAACCAGCUGAUCCGAUCACAUGCGGAUUCUUGCAGUGAUGCCGCAGACCAAAGUUUGCCAUGGCUAUACUCAUAAUGUCACAUCAGUGAUUUGCAUCACGCAAGAUCAAAUAAAUGGACUUGGUUUGUGGAAAACUCCUGCGUCAGCUUAUGCCUGCGCUGCCAUGAGAAACCCUGUCCCUGGUGUCCCAUGGCAGCCAAUGGCCAUCAAGUUCAUUGUCCAGAUGUUUUAAUUCACCCUGCGCAGGUUUGCGUGCAGUCCAGAUGUGGCACUUGGCGGUUUGCUUCCAGAUGUGUGGGUUUUUCUUCUCUCCCUAUCUUUUAAAUUUUUUUUUUUAAAUUGAAGGGGCAUUGAAGUUUUCCAUGGUCCUGAUCUCAGGGGCUUGCAUCUGUGUAGACGGUAAUGCAUUGUUCCGGGCCAUUGGUGUUGAUGGUGUGCUCUGGGCAGCGGCCCCGCUCUGCUCCACCCUCACUGAUUACUGUUGCAUGAUUCUGGGCAGGGUUAGCAUCGUAGCCAGCUAGCUUUAUUAGACGGGAUGGAAACAGUGGGAACCCUG
ensembl:lncRNA